GCGGAGGGAUCAUUGCUGGACGCGCUUCGGCGCACCCAGAAACCCUUUGUGAACUUAUACCUUACUGUUGCCUCGGCGCAGGCCGGCCCCUCCACGGGGGCCCCUCGGAGACGAGGAGCAGCCCGCCGGCGGCCAACCAAACUCUUGUUUCUUAGUGAAUCUCUGAGUAAAAAACAUAAAUGAAUCAAAACUUUCAACAACGGAUCUCUUGGUUCUGGCAUCGAUGAAGAACGCAGCGAAAUGCGAUAAGUAAUGUGAAUUGCAGAAUUCAGUGAAUCAUCGAAUCUUUGAACGCACAUUGCGCCCUCUGGUAUUCCGGAGGGCAUGCCUGUUCGAGCGUCAUUUCAACCCUCAAGCCUGGCUUGGUGUUGGGGCACUGCUUCGAGAGAAGCAGGCCCUGAAAUCUAGUGGCGAGCUCGCCAGGACCCCGAGCGUAGUAGUUAUAUCUCGUUCUGGAAGGCCCUGGCGGUGCCCUGCCGUUAAACCCCCAACUUCUGAAAUUU
rnacentral:rRNA from 1 species